rnacentral:rRNA from 1 species
UACGUAGGGUGCAAGCGUUGUCCGGAAUUACUGGGCGUAAAGAGCUCGUAGGUGGUUUGUCGCGUUGUUCGUGAAAACUCACGGCUUAACUGUGAGCGUGCGGGCGAUACGGGCAGACUGGAGUACUGCAGGGGAGACUGGAAUUCCUGGUGUAGCGGUGGAAUGCGCAGAUAUCAGGAGGAACACCGGUGGCGAAGGCGGGUCUCUGGGCAGUAACUGACGCUGAGGAGCGAAAGCGUGGGGAGCGAACAGG